GACGAACGCUGGCGGCGUGCCUAAUACAUGCAAGUCGAGCGGAUGGAAGGAAGCUUGCUUCCUAAAGUCAGCGGCGGACGGGUGAGUAACACGUGGGCAACCUGCCCCUAAGAUCGGGAUAACUUCGGGAAACCGGAGCUAAUACCGGAUAUGAUUAUGUCUCACAUGAGAUGUAAUGGAAAGACGGUUUCGGCUGUCACUUAGGGAUGGGCCCGCGGCGCAUUAGCUAGUUGGUGAGGUAACGGCUCACCAAGGCGACGAUGCGUAGCCGACCUGAGAGGGUGAUCGGCCAAACUGGGACUGGGACACGGCCCAGACUCCUACGGGAGGCAGCAGUAGGGAAUCUUCCGCAAUGGACGAAAGUCUGACGGAGCAACGCCGCGUGAGUGAAGAAGGUUUUCGGAUCGUAAAACUCUGUUGUUAGGGAAGAACAAGUACCAUAGUAACUGAUGGUACCUUGACGGUACCUAACCAGAAAGCCACGGCUAACUACGUGCCAGCCGCCGCCGUAA
rnacentral:rRNA from 1 species